rnacentral:tRNA from 1 species
UCUGCUUUAGUAUAAUUUAAUAUAUCAGCUUUUCGUGCUGGGGAUGGUUUAGACUAAGCAGCA